GGACAACAUUGCAAGAUUAACUGACCCUUCUUAGUUGAUACUGGAUGAGCGGUGUCAUUCUGUUAUGUGGUGGGAGUUUGAAUAAAGUGUUUCAUUUUUAGAGUUGCAGCAGGCAUAUUGGGAUGGCUGAUUAAUGGCCAAUAAUUUUUAGUGUUUCAUCAAUCUGCUCAAGUUGUAAUGAGUAUUCUAUUGUAACUUUUUUCUGGGAACAUUAUCUCCAUCCUCUUUUUGAUGGAAGAAUGCAUCUCUUUAGAAGUUCAUGCUGUAAAUGUAAGUUAUUGUUGAAUAAUACUUCGCUCAUCUCUCUUCUCACUUCAUGUCUGUUAAAUAGGUUGAGUAAUACACUUAAAUCUGGAGGCGGCUAAAUUAUUGGACAUGGGAUGGAUGAUUGUUGUGAUGUGGUCGAGACUGAAAAUCUGACUGUUAUCGGUAUGUUUUGUGUUAGAGAUUCCAUUUAUUGGCUUUCUUCUUGUUACACUUUUUUAACCAGAUUUUGUAGAUAUAGAAUUUAAAUUUCAGUAACAUGAUAUAUAUAAAUUUACUCAACAUUCUGUAACUUCGCUUUUUCCACAGUGGUUUUUCCACAUUUUUUGUUUUACAUGGUGUUAACUAGAAGGAGAGUUGAAACAGGGUGAAGUAGGGGAAGUGUGGUAAGAGUUGAGAAGGGGAGGAAAUGGCUGAGAUUGCUACUAUCUGAAGUAGGGAGGUCAAAGUCACUAGACGGAGUUUCUACUGGGCAGCAGCGAUAGUGCCAACCUGGGGAAGCAUUGGCGGAAUGGAGGUCUUCUUGGCAUUAGUCAAGUGUUAUCUCAGCAUGAUAUUAGUCACGUGUUAUCUCUGUAUUUUUGUCUUACACUUACGCCUUGAGGCAUUCAUCACAUGAGAAAUCAAGAUGCUGGAUUGAGGAGGAAAAUCUGCAGACAGAUACAGGGAUUGAUACAUAAAAACUGUCAACAAGCCUGAAGUGAUUGACAUUAUAUUGCCCUUAUUUAUUGAAAGUCUAGAAGAGGGUGAUGCUUUAACUCUUGUUAUUUAUUGACCUUUUUACUUGUGUAAGAAAGAAAAACAUGCCUAUAUUUUUCUUUGCUUUUAGAAUUUUAGAUCUGGAUUUUGUACGGAUAUUGUUACAUUUUUUAGUUCAAUUAAUAAUUACUAUUGGAGUUAUUUGAGAU
rnacentral:lncRNA from 1 species